GAUGAACGCUGGCGGCGUGCCUAAUACAUGCAAGUCGAGCGAACGGACGAGAAGCUUGCUUCUCUGAUGUUAGCGGCGGACGGGUGAGUAACACGUGGAUAACCUACCUAUAAGACUGGGAUAACUUCGGGAAACCGUAGCUAAUACCGGAUAAUAUUUUGAACCGCAUGGUUCAAAAGUGAAAGACGGUCUUGCUGUCACUUAUAGAUGGAUCCGCGCUGCAUUAGCUAGUUGGUAAGGUAACGGCUUACCAAGGCAACGAUGCAUAGCCGACCUGAGAGGGUGAUCGGCCACACUGGAACUGAGACACGGUCCAGACUCCUACGGGAGGCAGCAGUAGGGAAUCUUCCGCAAUGGGCGAAAGCCUGACGGAGCAACGACGCGUGAGUGAUGAAGGUCUUCGGAUCGUAAAACUCUGUUAUUAGGGAAGAACAUAUGUGUAAGUAACUGUGCACAUCUUGACGGUACCUAAUCAGAAAACCACGGCUAACUACGU
rnacentral:rRNA from 1 species